CAACAGAGUGACACCCUGUCUCUUCACAAAACAAAAACAAACAAAAAUGGGGAGGAGAGAGAAGAAGGAACAAAGGAAUAGAAAAGGAAACGAAAGGAAGAAAUAGCCAAACUCCUUCGUAGGGUUGCCACCCACAAACAAAAACGGGGAGGAGAGAGAAGCAGGAACAAAGGAAUAGAAAAGGAAACGAAAGGAAGAAAUAGCCAAACUCCUUCCUAGGGUCGCCACCCAUCCUGGUUUGCCUGUGGCUGUCCUGUUUUUAGCACUGAAAGUCCCGCAUCUUGGCACUGGGAUGGGUCGGUCAGACCUCAUCCUAUAGAAGUCUGACCCCUACUGCCCCCACCCUCCCUCCAGCCUUCGUAAAUUCAUGGCCCCUCCCUUCUCUACUGGACACUGCUGUGGGGCUGCUUCUCAAAUUCCUUCAGGGAUAACGUCUAAAGGCUUCUUCUUCAGAGAGGCCCUCGGGAGUCACCCUCAAUAAAGUCCCCACCUACCCCUGCCUUUCCUGGUACUCACUGUCACAUCAGUUUAUUUCCUUUAGGGCAGCACUGAUCCUUUUCUUGUCUUCUUUUCUUUUAUUUUCUUUGAGACAGAGUUUCUCUCUUGUUGCCCAGGCUGGAGUGCAAUGUUGCGAUCUUGGCUCACCGAAACCUCCACCUCCCAGGUUCAGGUCGGAAGUGUGAACCUGGGGAGACACUGUGAAAGGAAUGACCCUAAGGCAACACGCUUUAAGCCCUCUCUCACGCCUGCAUAAGGGCUGCUGGAGGGCGCCUUGGUGUCAGACCUGGGAAAGUGCCCGCUGUUUAGCCAGCUAGGGAAGGAGCCGUCCAAGAUGCCCGAGAUGUCUCCUUCCCCAGAGGAGUUAGGAGAGAACUCGGCCCCUCCAAGCUCUUGCGGUGGGCCUGAUGUAUCAGGAAGGCCCGCAGACAUCCGGGGGCUUACCUGUCUCUUAUGCUGUGGUUCAAUGGUCACGUUCCACGUCCACUCUCAUGUUCCGCUUCUGCACCUGGUUCCUUUUUUCUUAGAAGAGAUAAUCAGUAAAAAAAUACCAAUCUUAA